CAGCCAUGGCCGCGUGUGUGAAGAAGGCCUUUUGGUUGUAAAGCACUUUAAGCGAGGAGGAGGCUCCUUUAGUUAAUACCUAAAGAGAGUGGACGUUACUCGCAGAAUAAGCACCGGCUAACUCUGUGCCAGCAGCCGCGGUAAUACAGAGGGUGCGAGCGUUAAUCGGAUUUACUGGGCGUAAAGCGUGCGUAGGCGGCUUUUUAAGUCGGAUGUGAAAUCCCUGAGCUUAACUUAGGAAUUGCAUUCGAUACUGGAAAGCUAGAGUAUGGGAGAGGAUGGUAGAAUUCCAGGUGUAGCGGUGAAAUGCGUAGAGAUCUGGAGGAAUACCGAUGGCGAAGGCAGCCAUCUGGCCUAAUACUGACGCUGAGGUACGAAAGCAUGGGGAGCAAACAGGAUUAGAUACCCUGGUAGUCCAUGCCGUAACGAUGUCUACUAGCCGUUGGGGCCUUUGAGGCUUUAGUGGCGCAGCUAACGCGAUAAGUAGACCGCCUGGGGAGUACGGUCGCAAGACUAACACUCAGAUGAAUUGACGGGGGCCCGCACAAGCGGUGGAGCAUGUGGUUUAAUUCGAUGCAGCGCGAAGAACCUUACCUGGCCUUGACAUACUAAGAACUUUCCAGAGAUGGAUUGGUGCCUUCGGGAACAUUAGAUACAGGUGCUGCAUGUCUUUUC
rnacentral:rRNA from 1 species